GUGCUCGCUUCAGCAGCCCAUAUACUAAAAUUGGAACGAUACAGAGAUUAGCAUGGCCCCUUUGCAAGGAUGACACACAAAUUCGUGACGCGUUCCAUGUUUUU
rnacentral:snRNA from 1 species